UGGACACAGUAUUUACUGCUAUUCUUCUAUUUUUACAUGUCUUUUCAGAAAAAUAUCUAUGUAUACAAAAUGAAUACAUAAUGAAAGAAAACAGGCAAAAUUGACAUACUUGCCAGCAUCUUUCGAAUUCUCACCAUUGUCACCUGUCACCUGGCAACAGUAACUUCAACUGCCACAUUCAAAGCCCCUGUCUUUUGAUAUAGUACAUAAGCUCCUUUUCUCCAAUUCCCCUGCAUUUUCCAUUGGUAGGAAUAUUGGGAAUCUAAGAUGCUAAAUAACUCAGCGAUGACAACAAUAAGCAAACCCGUAAAUGUGCUGAGCAUGAAGCAGGCACUCAGGAGAUUCCUGUUGUUUGAGUGAUGAUGGAGAUUGUGGUUUUGGUGAUAUUCGUGAUUUGGUAGCCACCCAGACCCCUAAGCGAAAGAAGUCAAAGAAAAUGUACCUUGCGAGUAUUGAUUUCUCAUUAAAUAUUGAAUCUGUAUAAAGACAUUCAACAAGAUGCUGAAGAAGUACAUGGAAUACCCAUCAAUUUAUCACUCAGAAAAUUAGAUGUAGAAAAGAAACUCACUGACUUCUGAAAGCAAUAAACCUUGGAAGAGUCAAACUGACCCUCAGACUUAUUAACACUCUCAAAUAAGAGACAGAAUCAAACUGUAAAGAGACUAUUUUCUGAAUUAUCUUUGCUAUUAAUCUAUU